UACGAAGGGGGCUAGCGUUGUUCGGAAUUACUGGGCGUAAAGGGUGCGUAGGUGGUUUAGUACGUCAGAAGUGAAAUCCCCAGGCUCAACCUGGGAAUUGCUUUUGAGACUACUAGACUUGAGUACAGGAGAGGUGAGUGGAAUUCCCAGUGUAGAGGUAAAAUUCGUAGAUAUUGGGAGGAACACCAGUGGCGAAGGCGGCUCACUGGCCUGUAACUGACACUGAGGCACGAAAGCGUGGGGAGCAAACAGG
rnacentral:rRNA from 1 species